UCUCGAAUGCAUAGACCCUGACACCAACUCUCCCUCAUGGAUGCUUACUUGUUUGCUUGUUUGUUUUCAUUUCUUCUUGUUUCUCCUUAAUUGCAUUCUUCCUCAUUUUCCCCAGAUCGUCUAUUAUUUUUUCAUUAUCUUCCUCUGCUUCUUCAUCCUACCAUUCCAGCCAGUGGAGCUCUAAUAUACCAACAGAUAACAUAAGAGAUCAAUGCUCACUGUCAAGAUGCUGUUUAAACUUGAGCUGAACCUUCUUCUCAAAUGUAAAGCAUCUCAAAGUCCUGUGGAAUUUCAUCUCUAGUUUCCCGGGCAACUAUCACACGUCAGUCAUGGAUGUUCCGAAGCACACAGGUAAUAUUCCAUCUCAUCACCUCAAUUUUAAAUCUGGAGAAAGACAAAUGAAAUGGGUGCCGAUAAAUCCUCAAGGCUGCAGAGAUAAAAGAAAAGAAUGAAAAUCCAGGAGGCAAAGGCAAGUAAACAAUCCACUCUGCAAUCUAAUCUCCCU
rnacentral:lncRNA from 1 species